AGAAAAGAAAACUGAAAAAGCAUUAAAAGAAACAUAAAUGAUCCCAACCACCCAAGCAGAUUGUUUAUUUCCAAAGCAUCUGAAAAGCAAAACCCUUUAGCAGCCUGUCAGAGUAUUAUCCCAUCAAUCCUAUCAAUCUGCUUCAAUAAUAUACUAGAAUGUGUUCUUUCAAAAACCAUUGCGCCUCUUUAGAAUCUUGAUACUCCUUCAUUUAAAAAGACCUAAAAAUUUCUCUUCCACCUAUUUCAUUCCCAUCUUCCAAAAUGGGGAACCAAUAUCAGAUGUGGCUUGUACGGUGUGGUUAUCGCCGAUCUACUUCAAUAGCAUCGAGUGCAUAGGUAGAAACAUUGGCCAUAAGAUAAGUUGUUUCAUUUAUUUUAAGACCCUCAGUAGCCAAAGUAUCCAGGCAUUCGCCUUCACCGAGACCUCAGUACUUGAAAUAAUUCUCCAGCACAUUCUAUCCUCCAAAAUGCCCUUGGUGGCCCAUAUGCUUCUCCAGGUAUAGGAAGUAAAGGCCCAACAUGCAACGUCCGCAAUCUUUGAAUUCGGGCAUCACGUGAUUGUUCCAUACACCACCAAGAUUCAAACUUACAAGACCUCUAGCAACGUAUUGACUCUUCCUGAUCAGUUCUUAUUAGCAACGGGAAAUGGUUAGAGAAUGAGUGAGAAAGAUGCUGUAACAUCCCGAAAUAGGGCCUAAACGGAGCAGUGGUUGCGAAACCAUAAAUUCGAGAUCAAGAAGAACAAAAUCUGGAGUUAGACCGGGGAAAGAAAAAGAUAGUGGACUAAAUCGAUAUAGUUGAUCGUAUUUUGUUUCGAGUUUUGUCAAGCUAACUCGGGGAUCGUGAAGUACGUCGGAGGUUCGGGCACACUAUCACGAGGAUUUUUUUGGUAUAGCUAGAUGUUUCAUUUUGAGUAUGGCAUCUAUAGCAUCGUAGCCAUUUUGUGUGUAUGAUCUUAUGAUAUGGCUAAUGAAUGGUAUGUAAAUGUUUGAUAAUGAUUAGCUGUUGGAAUGGCUAAUCAAAGACAUGUUUGGUGUUAUGUAUGCCUAAAUGCUAGUUAUUCCAUGGAAAUUAUGAAAAAGGUGAAAUUAGCACAAUCAGACAGUAGCAGUGAUGUGAAUUUGAAAAAUCACUAAAAAUAGUAGAAAUGGAAUUAAAUGAUGAAUAAGUUACGAAAUCAAA